CGGCCCGGCCCCGCCCCGCCGGGACAGCUUUGGGAGCUGACGCAGCGCUGGCAUUGCUGGGCCGGGAGACAAGCUGCAGCAGUGAGGCGGGUGAAGGCAUGGCCCCGCCACGUAGGUAAACUGGUUUUACCUGGAGGGGCUCAGGGUUGUUUGUAACAUUGGAGCUGCCUCUUGGCAUCCCCUGGCAGCACUUGGCGAAGCUGUCCCAGGGCGAAUGUGAACCCAGUGCCUGGAGGUGCACGUUCCACUCCUCCUCUCUUCAAACCCUUGCUUCUUGUUUCCUGGCAGUGAUGUGGACCAGCAAUUAAAGAAAUCCUGGAAAGAGAGACAAGAUUGUUUCCCAUGAGGUUGCCCCUGAAAGAAAGAGAAGCCCCGUGUGGAUACACGUGGCACGGGUGCCAUGCUGAUAUCUGGGGUGGGAAAGAAGCUCAGUGCAGGCUGAAUGCACGUGCCUGUAAAUGUCCGCUUGGCAGACCCUGGAUCACCUGCUCCCAGGGGGACCCGCUGGAAACUCAUCUAUGACCCGUGUCACCAAAGUGGCUCUGUGCUUGUCAGACUUUAAAGGCAAGCAUCCUCAAACCAUUCUGGAAUACAAAUACCACGUUACAGAUAGAAAUCUGUGGCAAAGACAACUGAAUAAUUUGCCUUGUGUUGGGAGGAAGACCUGGUGUAGAAACCAAGUUCCUUGAGUGUCAAUUCUGAGGAUGCCUUCAUCUGUCCCCUAUGAGCAGUACCCAGCGUUGACUCAAACAGAGCUCACAGGACCUCUGGUUGGAGGGGUGGUGGCAGGAGGCACCAGAGGAGUGACAGGCAGCUGGUGCAUGCAGAGAGCAGGACGAGGGACAAGGGUGAAGGAGCGAUAGGAGGGAGAGGACGGUGACCGGCACCAGGGCCAGAGGGAGGAGCUGCUGCAGGCGGUGAGAGGUUGACCCAGCCACCAGGGACGUGCAGAUGGGGGCGAUUUGGUGAUCUCCUCGUGUCUCUCAAAGCAGUGCUGUUCUGAAAGGGUUACCUCAGUUUUCUGAGCUUAGACCAUGUGAAACACAGAGGCAUGACAAGAGCAGAGAGAGAAGGCAAAAAUAUUUCAGAAGCCAAGAAAAUAACAAAUGGAGGAAUCAAGCCUAAAUCUUGUGUUGUGGGAGGGUGAGGGGGUACGGAUGCUGGCGGGAGAGGGAAUAGGAAAACGUAGUUAAGGGGAGGGAGGAAGAGAGCGAGAGGUGAUGUGAUAGAAACGAGCAGAGGUGGAACAAGGAAAGAGGCUCACAGUGAAUUUAUUUGAAUUUCUAUUCAAAUGUUACCCUGGAAAAAAAAACCAGUUCCUGUGAAGUUGUGAAGACUGGGACUGCAGGGUCCCUCCUGGGGGGACUUGGCUGCUGCCAAGCAGCAUUACUGUUGAGAUAUAUUUUAGAAUAUACCAUGCCACAGCAGGUGCGUGCAAUUAGAGGAGAGCUCUCCAAAAUAGCAGGCGGCUGUCAAUUUUUUAGCAAAUGGUGUUGUCCUUUUUUUUCCUUUGUCCAACUGUGUAGAAAUUUAUUCUAAGAUGCAUCAUCUUUACAGAAGCAUUUUCAAAGGACCUGUUAUUUUUACCCUUCUGUUGCUUUUUGUGACCAGAUGAGAAGCAGAAGGCUAAUCCAAUGGGUGAGUUUUGUUCCACAGAGGGAAGUUAAUGAACUCUAACGAGCAAGCAAGUUUCAGGAGACCUUCCACUCUGAAAACAGUGUGCAAAUUUCCACCUGGCUAGAAUUUAACCAAAUUACAAUGACUACUACUUUUGUGAAAUAUUACUAUUGCUAUCAUUUGCCUUUUUGUAGUGCUUCAUGCAUGUAUCACACCUCAGAACACUCCUGUAUGGUAAUUUUGCAUUUAUAUCCUCAUUUUCUUGAAGAGGAAACUGCGUCAUAGUGAGUUUCGUAGUUUGACCAAGCCACGCAGUCAUUGUGUGGCUGAUACAUUGAUAAGGUAUGCGACCAGCUAUCAUGAUUAGAUUUUUGUUCCAUGACACUGACUGAAAUUAAAUAGUGUUUAAAAAAUAUCCACCAAAGAAACAAUUUAGCCUGGUGAGUUCCAGUGUUUCAUUGUUUCUUGGAUUAGGCGAACACCUUCUCCCCGAACAAAGGGCUAUAGCUCUUUGUGGUGUAAAUCAGGGUUUUACCUUAAAAUGUCUGCUGGGUAGAGACAGAAAUAGCAUUUGGACACCCCUCAGGUAAGUGGUUUUUCUUCCCCUGAAUGGUAGGGGUCAGAAAAAUAGAUUUAUAUUGCCUUGACUUCUUUGUUUCCUUCACAAGUGCUUUUUACUCAGCAAGGGGAGCACGCUGGAAACAUUCUACCACAGCUCUACGCAACACAGGCUGCAGCUGCGCUGGGAACCUGGCAGUGAUGUUGGCUGCUGGAGGCAUAACCAGGCUGGUGUGGCUGCCAGAAGUGAGUCAUGAGCAGCUCAUGCCAAGCAUGACCUGUCGCGCU